UGUUAGAAGUGCAUUAGGUCUCUUAGGUUUUAGUUUAAGACCAACAUGAGUGAGUGAGAUAAACUCGACUAGCUAAGGUAAAGCAUCAAGCGUGAAAUUCAAUCAUUAGACCCCGCUGAGGAUCAGACCCCGCUGAGGAUCGGACCCCAAACCUUUUUUCAACACCAAAUGUGAAAUUACUCCCACCUUACCUACGUCGAAGAAUUAUUGGUGGAUAUCUUGGGCAAAUGUGCAAUACCAUGGAGGGAUAUCUUGGGCAAAUGUGCAAUAUCAGAAGUUAAUGUGCAAGAUAACUAUAUAAGAAGUACAAAAUCCGAAUUUUAAGUCAGGAUUUUGGUAUGUUCUUUCAAUUUGAUGUGAAAUGUUGAUAUUUUAGCGAGUUUAAUAAAGUGUUAUUUAGUUUGAUAGUUAGUUUGAUAGUGAAUAUAUACCAGAUAAAGAUACUGAGUGAUGGUUUAAAUUAGUAGCGAGAUGAGUGCAUAAUGUAUUUAGGGUAUUUUGGAGCUAAAUUUGUUUUAAAAUUUGUCAUUUUAUGAAUAACAGGAAAUUUUAGAACACAUCCCGUUCUUUCUUCUGGUCGUCCUAGUUGCUAUUUAGCAGCGAGAAGAUUUCAGGGUUGUAAUUUUAACACAUAAAUUGUGUUCCGAGUAAAGUACCCUGCGAGCGAAGCGUACGA